UAACAUUUGAAAUGUAAAUAAUGAAAAUAUCCACGUGCCAAAGUAAUGGAGAGACUUUGAUAGACCAGGUUAUCACAGUGCCUGCAGCUGCCACUCAGCUUGCCUAUAUAU